UACGUAGGGGGCGAGCGUUGUCCGGAAUCAUUGGGCGUAAAGCGCGUGUAGGCGGCCCGGUAAGUCCGCUGUGAAAGUCCAGGGCUCAACCCUGGGAUGCCGGUGGAUACUGUCGGGCUCGAGUCCGGAAGAGGCGAGUGGAAUUCCGUGGUGGUAGCGGUGAAAAUGCGCAGAUAUCAGGAGGAACACCAAUGGCGAAGGCAGCUCGCUGGGACGUGACUGACGCUGAGACGCGAAAGCGUGGGGAGCAAACAGG
rnacentral:rRNA from 1 species